AAAGGUGCAGAUGCAGACCCACAAGAAGAAAGACAAAGGUGCAGAUGCAGACCCACAAGAAGAAAGGUAGAGGUUGCACACUAAGGCGUGCUGCUGAAAAUUACACAACCAGACAGAAUUGAUCCAGCUUCAGUGUGUGUGUUGUGGACACACCCCCUGACACUUUGACCCCGCCCACCCGGCAGAGGCUGAGAGUGGGAGGAGCACUUACGGAUGAGAGGCACACUGGCGUUGGCGGUCCCCAGUUUGUUGGUGGCGAUACAGGUGUAGUUCCCGUAACGAUCCUCCGUCAUGUUGCUCACCGUCAGGACGGACCUGGAACUCAGGCUCUUGAUGUCCAUGCCCUGACCCUUCAGGAUCCUGAACACACACAAACACAGGCCCUUGGUCUUUGUCGGCACACACACACACACACACACACACACACACACACACACACACACACACACACAUAGUGCUCCCAGGUAACAGACACAUAAAUAAAUAAAUACUAAAUAAUGAA